GAUGAACGCUAGCGGCAGGCCUAAUACAUGCAAGUCGAACGGUGUCUUCGGACAUAGUGGCGCACGGGUGCGUAACACGUAUGCAACCUACCUUACAUUGGGGGAUAGCCUUUCGAAAGGGAGAUUAAUACCGCAUAAGACAGUAGCUGGGCAUCCAGCAGCUGGUAAAGAUUUAUCGAUGUAAGCUGGGCAUGCGUCCAAUUAGCUAGUUGGUGAGGUAACGGCUCACCAAGGCAAUGAUUGGUAGGAGAACUGAGAGGUCAAUCCCCCACACUGGCACUGAGAUACGGGCCAGACUCCUACGGGAGGCAGCAGUAGGGAAUAUUGGGCAAUGGACGCAAGUCUGACCCAGCCAUGCCGCGUGCAGGAUGAAGGCGUUAUGCGUUGUAAACUGCUUUUAUACAGGAAGAAACGACUCUUGCGAGAGGCAUUGACGGUACUGUAUGAAUAAGCACCGGCUAACUCCGUGCCAGCCGCCGCCGUAAGAC
rnacentral:rRNA from 1 species